rnacentral:rRNA from 2 species
AACGCGUGGGAAUCUACCUUAAGCUACGGGAUAACAGAGAGAAAUUUCUGCUAAUACCGUAUGUGGCCUAUGGGCGAAAGAUUUAUCGGCUUAAGAUGAGCCCGCGUUGGAUUAGCUAGUUGGUGGGGUAAAGGCCUACCAAGGCGACGAUCCAUAGCUGGUCUGAGAGGAUGAUCAGCCACACUGGGACUGAGACACGGCCCAGACUCCUACGGGAGGCAGCAGUGGGGAAUAUUGGACAAUGGGCGGAAGCCUGAUCCAGCCAUGCCGCGUGAGUGAAGAAGGCCUUAGGGUUGUAAAGCUCUUUCACCGGUGAAGAUAAUGACGGUAACCGGAGAAGAAGCCCCGGCUAACUUCGUGCCAGCAGCCGCGGUAAUACGAAGGGGGCUAGCGUUGUUCGGAUCUACUGGGCGUAAAGCGCGCGUAGGCGGAUAGAUAAGUCAGAGGUGAAAUCCCGGGGCUCAACCCCGGAAUUGCCUUUGAUACUGUUUAUCUUGAGUGCAGAAGAGGUAAGUGGAAUUCCNAGUGUANAGGUGAAAUUCGUAGAUAUUCGGAGGAACACCNGUGGCGAANGCGGCUUACUGGUCUGCAACUGACGCUGANGCGCGAAAGCGUGGGGAGCAAACANGAUUAGAUA